rnacentral:rRNA from 1 species
UACGUAGGGUGCAAGCGUUGUCCGGAAUUAUUGGGCGUAAAGAGCUCGUAGGCGGUCUGUCGCGUCGGCUGUGAAAACUCGGGGCUCAACCCCGAGCCUGCAGUCGAUACGGGCAGACUAGAGUGCUGUAGGGGAGACUGGAAUUCCUGGUGUAGCGGUGAAAUGCGCAGAUAUCAGGAGGAACACCGGUGGCGAAGGCGGGUCUCUGGGCAGUAACUGACGCUGAUGCACGAAAGCUAGGGGAGCAAACAGG